GACAGACAGACAGAUAAAGAGGGCGUUGGUUCAAAAAAGAGAAAAAAGAAAGCUUGGAACAGUGAACUACGUUUGCCCAGGAAAACACACUUGAGAGCUGAAAGAUGGAGAACUAUCCACAGGCUUCACUAGUGAUCUUUUGGCUUCAACUGAGCUGGGUGAGCAGUGAAGACAAGGUGGUGCAGAGCCCCCCAUCUAUGGCUGUCCAUGAGGGAGACAGUGCAACUCUCACCUGUAAUUAUGUAGUGAGUUACUUUCGAAGCCUACAGUGGUGCAAGCAGGAAAAGAACGCUCCCGUAUUUCUGUUUACACUGACUUCAAGUGGGAUCGAGAAGAAGUCAGGAAGGUUUAGUAGCAUAUUAGAUAACAAAGAACUCAGCACCCUGAACAUCACAGCCACCCAGACCGGAGACUCAGCCAUCUACUUCUGUGCUGUGGAGGCACAGUGCUCCGCCGGCACCUGCAGCCUGUACCCAAACACUACAGCUGACGCUCUGCAACUGUAAGAUGGGGAGCUUACAAAACUGUGCAAAAAUAAGCUAUAAGGAAAAGUGGCUAUUGGUCAAGAUCCUUGUGCCCAUGUUGACAAUUACAUAGGAAGUUUACUGAAUCCUAACUCAGACUGAGCCAAAUCACUGCAUUCACUACUUUCUCUGUGAUUUUCUGGGGGAUUUAACAUAGCUAAUAUUUCUAGAAGGUCACUCAUAGGAUGCCAACUCCAUCACUACAUCAUUAUGACCUGUGGUAGAAAGAAAGCCCUUUUAUCAGAAGGUACAGGCAACUAGCGUGUGCACUGCCCGCCAGGGUCUCUGCCCAGCAGUUGGGAAGUUUCAUCUUCCCACCCAGAACAGACACAUUCAUAGGUAGAGUUCUGCCUGACACUUUUCCUGUUGGACCUAUUAGCAAAGAACAAAAGGUGGGAACAAGCAGGUAUCAUUAUUUGAUUCAAACAAAGACUUUUCCUUCCCACUUGGUAGUAUUCUUAUUUAUUCUUUUCAUUUCAGGAUUGUUGCCUAUUCUGGGCACUUCGUAAAAGUGGUGAUAGAAUUUUCUCAAGAUAUUACACAGUAAUUUGAACACUUAGUACCUUAA